rnacentral:rRNA from 1 species
AUUGAACGCUGGCGGCAUGCCUUACACAUGCAAGUCGAACGGCAGCGGACCUUCGGGUGCCGGCGAGUGGCGAACGGGUGAGUAAAGUAUCGGAACGUACCUUUCAGUGGGGGAUAACUGUCCGAAAGGACAGCUAAUACCGCAUAUUCUGUGAGCAGGAAAGCAGGGGAUCGCAAGACCUUGCGCUGAUUGAGCGGCCGAUAUCAGAUUAGCUAGUUGGUGAGGUAAAGGACUCACCAAGGCGACGAUCUGUAGCGGGUCUGAGAGGAUGAUCCGCCACACUGGAACUGAGACACGGUCCAGACUCCUACGGGAGGCAGCAGUGGGGAAUUUUGGACAAUGGGGGCGAACCCUGAUCCAGCCAUGCCGCGUGAGUGAAGAAGGCCUCGGUU